AACGAACGCUGGCGGCAGGCCUAACACAUGCAAGUCGAGCGAGGACUUCGGUCCUAGCGGCGGGCGGGUGAGUAACGCGUGGGAACGUGCCCUUUGCUUCGGAAUAGCCCUGGGAAACUGGGAGUAAUACCGGAUGAGCCCUUUGGGGGAAAGAUUUAUCGGCGAAGGAUCGGCCCGCGUUGGAUUAGGUAGUUGGUGGGGUAAUGGCCUACCAAGCCGACGAUCCAUAGCUGGUUUGAGAGGAUGAUCAGCCACACUGGGACUGAGACACGGCCCAGACUCCUACGGGAGGCAGCAGUGGGGAAUCUUAGACAAUGGGGGAAACCCUGAUCUAGCCAUGCCGCGUGAGCGAUGAAGGCCUUAGGGUUGUAAAGCUCUUUCAGCUGGGAAGAUAAUGACGGUACCAGCAGAAGAAGCCCCGGCUAACUCCGUG
rnacentral:rRNA from 1 species